UUGUGAUGUUGAUGUUUAUAAUGAUGAUUAUUAUGAUUACGAUGGAUUGCUUCAUAUCACCACGAUCAUCAUCAUCAUCAUCAUCAUUAUUAUCAUCAUCU
rnacentral:miRNA from 1 species